UGAAUACGAGACGCUACGGCGUCGAAGCAGUCUAUGUCAUACUUCCAAGAAAAGCUUGCACUGUCAUAAACAAAGAAUGCCUGUACCAUAACCGACACAGGUGGGUAGGUAGAGUAUACUAAGGGGCGCGAGAUAACUCUCUCUAAGGAACUCGGCAAAAUGACUCCGUAACUUCGGGAGAAGGAGUGCCUUAUUUAUAAGGUUGCAAUAACAAGAUCCAAGCAACUGUUUACCAAAAACACAGGUCUCCGCUAAGUCGUAAGACGAUGUAUGGGGGCUGACGCCUGCCCAGUGCCAGAAGGUUAAAGAAGUUGGUUAGCAUUUGCGAAGCUGAUAACUGAAGCCCUGGUGAACGGCGGCCGUAACUAUAACGGUCCUAAGGUAGCGAAAUUCCUUGUCGGGUAAGUUCCGACCCGCACGAAAGGCGUAAUGAUUUGGAUACUGUCUCGGAGAGGGGCUCGGUGAAAUAGACUUGUCUGUGAAGAUGCGGACUACCUGCACCUGGACAGAAAGACCCUAUGAAGCUUUACUGUAACCUGAAAUUGAAAUUGGACUUUAUUUGCGCAGUAUAGGUGGGAGGCGUUGAGAAUUUUCUUGCGGGAAGAUUGGAGCCAUCAGUGAGAUACCACUCUUGUAAUGUUAGAUUUCUAACUUUGAAUCAUGAUCUGGUCAAAGAACAGUUUCAGGCGGGCAGUUUGACUGGGGCGGUCGCCUCCCAAAUGGUAACGGAGGCGCACAAAGGUUUCCUCUGAACGGGUAGAAAUCGUAUCUAGAGUGUAAAGGCAUAAGGAAGCUUGACUGUGAGACCUACAAGUCGAGCAGGGACGAAAGUCGGUCUUAGUGAUCUGACGGUGCUGAGUGGAAAGGCCGUCACUCAACGGAUAAAAGUUACUCUAGGAUAACAGGCUGAUCUCCCCCAAGAGUUCACAUCGACGGGGAGGUUUGGCACCUCGAUGUCGGCUCAUCGCAUCCUGGGGCGGUACGUCCCAAGGGUUGGGCUGUUCGCCCAUGAAAGCGGUACGCGAGCUGGGUUCAGAACGUCGUGAGACAGUUCGGUCCAUAUCCGGUGUAGGCGUUAGAAUAUUGAGAGGAGCCUUCUUUAGUACGAGAGGACCGAGAAGGACAUACCUCUGGUGUACCAGUUAUCGUGCCAACGGUAAACGCUGGGUAGCUAUGUAUGGAGAGGAUAACCGCUGAAAGCAUCUAAGUGGGAAGCCCACCUCAAGAUAAG
rnacentral:rRNA from 1 species